AUUACUUCUAGGGAAAGCGUGCACGCAUUAAUCAAUCAAUUUGGAAGGUGUAGAUAGACAAAUUAUCAAAGUUUUCUUUGAUCCAAAUCAGUUGGAUGACCUACACAAGGUGAUAGUAGAACUAUACUUUUAACCUUUAUAUUUAUUGUCUUUGUGUAGAAGAUGGGCAUGAGAGCUAUCUUGGUAAUCUGCUCUUCCAAUACAGGAAUGGUCUUUCAGGCACCCUGAAAGAUGAAUUGACUAGAACUGGUGUUCCAGAAACAUUGGUAGGAUUAAUUAACAUACAUCACACUGUAUAGGAGGUUUUGUGAAAGUAAGGCUGAGAAAACACAUUCUUUGCCAUGGUGUUGACCUCCUAAUUCCGAAAGUCACAAACUGAUGUUUCAGGAAUCAAAAAAAAAAAAAAAAUCUAUCCUAUGGAGCUUGGUAUCACUAGAGAACCACUAUCUGAGGAAUAGAGAAGACAUUGUAGAAAUAUUAACCUUAAAGAAUAAGUUAAGGACUGUUCUCGCUCUUCUUCUUUCUGAUCCUGACCUUCCUUAUACAUCAGAAGUAGAUGCCUCCAAGAUUGCCAUUUGUGCCAUCAUCUCACAAAGGAAAAAUCCUACCUUUCUUCUUCAUCCUAUCUUGUUUUUCAAGAGAACAAAAUUACAUUGUAGGAGGAAAAUAAUUGUUGUCCAUUAAAUCCUUGAAAGAAUGGAGGCUUCUAGUGUAAAAAAUACUCAUUUAUGAUCUCCAUAAAAAUCUUGAUUAUCUGUGUUCAGCUAAAAGACGGACUAUCCUGCCCAUUGAACACCAGCACCUUUGAUGCUGGCCUUAUCUACCCUCUUACCCCCAGAACGAUACAGGUGAUCCCGGUCGUCGAAUUGGGAACCCAAUUACAACACUGAGUGGCUGCCAUAAUGCCAAGAUGAACAGGAGGUUAACCUAAAAUUAUGGAUGCCUUGUGUCGAGCAGACAGCUGCAGAAAACAAGUUACAUUUAACUGCUCCCUCAACAAAAUUUUUGUGGCCGUCUGGGAGAAGCUGGACCGCCACCUGCAACAGUCUAAUAACCGGCCGAGGAGUGAUCAAAUCCUUCCAAGCUUACCACCUAGUAUUCGGCAGAAGACACUGGCUCCAGAUGUGGGUCGGGCAAGUGAUGGGAUGUAAGACUGGAGAAACCUGUAACAACAGCUGCAAAGCAAAGCCCACCAGAAGGCCAAGAUACUUGCAUACCGGAUCGUACAUUAGCCUAGAAAGCAAGCACACAGCGAGGGAUUUCAUUACUAUUACUGGGCUUGCCACUACGCCUAAGCAUCAUGUCUACCGAGAUUGGAGUCCUGGUGCUCACGGGCAGCCAGACCUGACCAUGACUAUGCCCUUGGAGGGUAUUGGCUGGCCCUUUUCAUAUCAUGUUCUACCAUUCCAGACUCAAUGGCUCUGGCUAUGUUAUUUCCAUGACAGUCACAGACAGAUUGCUACAAUUUACAUCACAAUUCUGGAGAACACUAUGUUGUUCCUUAAGAAUUGUGAACAAAUUCUUCACAUCCUUUCACCCAUAAACAAACGGACAAACAGAAAGAGUAAAUGGUAUAUUGGAAGAAUAUAUACAAGUAAAUUCC
rnacentral:lncRNA from 1 species